rnacentral:rRNA from 1 species
GAUGAACGCUGGCGGCGUGCCUAAUACAUGCAAGUCGAGCGAACGGACGAGAAGCUUGCUUUUCUGAUGUUAGCGGCGGACGGGUGAGUAACACGUGGAUAACCUACCUAUAAGACUGGGAUAACUUCGGGAAACCGGAGCUAAUACCGGAUAAUAUUUUGAACCGCAUGGUUCAAAAGUGAAAGACGGUCUUGCUGUCACUUAUAGAUGGAUCCGCGCUGCAUUAGCUAGUUGGUAAGGUAACGGCUUACCAAGGCAACGAUGCAUAGCCGACCUGAGAGGGUGAUCGGCCACACUGGAACUGAGACACGGUCCAGACUCCUACGGGAGGCAGCAGUAGGGAAUCUUCCGCAAUGGGCGAAAGCCUGACGGAGCAACGCCGCGUGAGUGAUGAAGGUCUUCGGAUCGUAAAACUCUGUUAUUAGGGAAGAACAUAUGUGUAAGUAACUGUGCACAUCUUGACGGUACCUAAUCAGAAAGCCACGGCUAACUACGUGCCAGCAGCCGCGGUAAUACGUAGGUGGCAAGCGUUAUCCGGAAUUAUUGGGCGUAAAGCGCGCGUAGGCGGUUUUUUAAGUCUGAUGUGAAAGCCCACGGCUCAACCGUGGAGGGUCAUUGGAAACUGGAAAACUUGAGUGCAGAAGAGGAAAGUGGAAUUCCAUGUGUAGCGGUGAAAUGCGCAGAGAUGUGGAGGAACACCAGUGGCGAAGGCGACUUUCUGGUCUGUAACUGACGCUGAUGUGCGAAAGCGUGGGGAUCAAACAGGAUUAGAUACCCUGGUAGUCCACGCCGUAAACGAUGAGUGCUAAGUGUUAGGGGGUUUCCGCCCCUUAGUGCUGCAGCUAACGCAUUAAGCACUCCGCCUGGGGAGUACGACCGCAAGGUUGAAACUCAAAGGAAUUGACGGGGGCCCGCACAAGCGGUGGAGCAUGUGGUUUAAUUCGAAGCAACGCGAAGAACCUUACCAAAUCUUGACAUCCUUUGACAACUCUAGAGAUAGAGCCUUCCCCUUCGGGGGACAAAGUGACAGGUGGUGCAUGGUUGUCGUCAGCUCGUGUCGUGAGAUGUUGGGUUAAAUCCCGCAACGAGCGCAACCCUUAAGCUUAGUUGCCAUCAUUAAGUUGGGCACUCUAAGUUGACUGCCGGUGACAAACCGGAGGAAGGUGGGGAUGACGUCAAAUCAUCAUGCCCCUUAUGAUUUGGGCUACACACGUGCUACAAUGGACAAUACAAAGGGCAGCGAAACCGCGAGGUCAAGCAAAUCCCAUAAAGUUGUUCUCAGUUCGGAUUGUAGUCUGCAACUCGACUACAUGAAGCUGGAAUCGCUAGUAAUCGUAGACCAGCAUGCUACGGUGAAUACGUUCCCGGGUCU